CAUGUAUGUGUGUGUUGUGUAUGUACUAUAUAUAGUAUAUUAUAUAUAUAUACACACACACACACACACACACACACACACACACACACACAC
rnacentral:miRNA from 1 species